rnacentral:rRNA from 1 species
UGGGGAAUAUUGGACAAUGGGGGCAACCCUGAUCCAGCCAUGCCGCGUGAAUGAUGAAGGCCUUCGGGUUGUAAAGUUCUUUUGGUGGGGACGAUGAUGACGGUACCCACAGAAUAAGCUCCGGCUAACUUCGUGCCAGCAGCCGCGGUAAUACGAAGGGGGCUAGCGUUGUUCGGAAUUACUGGGCGUAAAGGGCGCGUAGGCGGCUUGAUAAGUUGGAUGUGAAAUCCCAAGGCUUAACUUUGGAACUGCAUUCAAGACUAUCUUGCUCGAAUUCGGUAGAGGUUGGUGGAAUUCCCAGUGUAGAGGUGAAAUUCGUAGAGAUUGGGAAGAAUAUCCGUGGCGAAGGCGGCCAACUGGACCGACAUUGACGCUGAGGCGCGAAAGCGUGGGUAGCAAACA